UGACACAUGCAGUCGAGCGGUAGCACAGAGAGCUUGCUCUCGGGUGACGAGCGGCGGACGGGUGAGUAAUGUCUGGGAAACUGCCUGAUGGAGGGGGAUAACUACUGGAAACGGUAGCUAAUACCGCAUAACGUCGCAAGACCAAAGUGGGGGACCUUCGGGCCUCAUGCCAUCAGAUGUGCCCAGAUGGGAUUAGCUAGUAGGUGGGGUAACGGCUCACCUAGGCGACGAUCCCUAGCUGGUCUGAGAGGAUGACCAGCCACACUGGAACUGAGACACGGUCCAGACUCCUACGGGAGGCAGCAGUGGGGAAUAUUGCACAAUGGGCGCAAGCCUGAUGCAGCCAUGCCGCGUGUGUGAAGAAGGCCUUCGGGUUGUAAAGCACUUUCAGCGGGGAGGAAGGCGUUAAGGUUAAUAACCUUGGCGAUUGACGUUACCCGCAGAAGAAGCACCGGCUAACUCCGUGCCAGCAGCCGCGGUAAUACGGAGGGUGCAAGCGUUAAUCGGAAUUACUGGGCGUAAAGCGCACGCAGGCGGUCUGUCAAGUCGGAUGUGAAAUCCCCGGGCUCAACCUGGGAACUGCAUUCGAAACUGGCAGGCUAGAGUCUUGUAGAGGGGGGUAGAAUUCCAGGUGUAGCGGUGAAAUGCGUAGAGAUCUGGAGGAAUACCGGUGGCGAAGGCGGCCCCCUGGACAAAGACUGACGCUCAUGUGCGAAAGCGUGGGGAGCAAACAGGAUUAGAUACCCUGGUAGUCCACGCCGUACACGAUGUCGAUUUGAAUGCUGUGUCCUUGAUGCGUGGCUACCGGAGCUAACGCGAUAAAUCGACCGUCUGCGGAGUACAGUCGCGAGCAUCAAACUCAAAUGAGCUGACGGGGGUCCGCACUAGCGGUGGAGCAUGUGGAUCAAUUCGAUGCAACGCGAGCAUCAUACGUGCUCGAGACAUACACAGGACUAACUAAAGAUGGAUAGUUGCCUCGGUGCUGGGAAACAGGGCUGCAUCGCUGUCGUCAGCUCGUGUGGGGAAUGAUGGAGUAAGUCC
rnacentral:rRNA from 1 species